rnacentral:misc_RNA from 1 species
GUGAGAACGCAGCGAAAUGCGAUAAGUAAUGUGAAUUGCAGAAUUCAGUGAAUCAUCGAAUCUUUGAACGCACAUUGCGCCCCUUGGUAUUCCGGGGGGCAUGCCUGUUCGAGCGUCAUUAUAACCCCUCAAGCUCAGCUUGGUGUUGGGGCCUGCCAACUGGCAGCCCUUAAAAUCAGUGGCGGCGCCAUCUGGCUCUAAGCGUAGUAAUUUCUCUCGCUAUAGGGUCCCGGUGGAUGCUUGCCAACAACCCCCAAUUUUCUAUGGUUGACCUCGGAUCAGGUAGGGAUACCCGCUGAACUUAAGCAUAUCAAUAAGCGGAGGA